ACGUUGAUUGACAAGUGACGUCACCGUUACGCCCGUUCAUCGUGGACGGCCAUAUUUGAAUCUGACACGGUGGUCCUGUGUGGAUUUGGGGUAAAAAAACGUGACCGGUGUUGGAUUCAAGAAUAAAGACCGUUUAUAAAGGAGUGGUGCAACUGCUUAAGGAGUUAUAAACUGCCCCGUUGUGUCAGGCAGUGUUUAUUCCUCAUCCAGUUAGACAACAAGCGCUGUCAACAUGCCGAAAACAGUCAAUGUCCGGGUGACGACGAUGGAUGCUGAGCUGGAGUUUGCCAUCCAGCCCAACACCACCGGUAAACAGCUCUUCGAUCAGGUAGGUAUUGCUGCUGUGAGGGU